rnacentral:rRNA from 1 species
AGUGAACGCUGGCGGUAGGCCUAACACAUGCAAGUCGAACGGCAGCACAGUAAGAGCUUGCUCUUACGGGUGGCGAGUGGCGGACGGGUGAGGAAUACAUCGGAAUCUACUUUUUCGUGGGGGAUAACGUAGGGAAACUUACGCUAAUACCGCAUACGACCUACGGGUGAAAGCAGGGGAUCUUCGGACCUUGCGCGAUUGAAUGAGCCGAUGUCGGAUUAGCUAGUUGGCGGGGUAAAGGCCCACCAAGGCGACGAUCCGUAGCUGGUCUGAGAGGAUGAGCAGCAACACUGGAACUGAGACACGGUCCAGACUCCUACGGGAGGCAGCAGUGGGGAAUAUUGGACAAAGGGCGCAAGCCUGAUCCAGCCAUACCGCGUGGGUGAAGAAGGCCUUCGGGUUGUAAAGCCCUUUUGUUGGGAAAGAAAAGCAGCAGGUUAAUACCCCGCUGUUCUGACGGUACCCAAAGAAUAAGCACCGGCUAACUUCGUG